UAAUCUAGAACAGUGGUUCUUAACCUUUUUUGAGGUACUGAACCCCCCAGUUUCAUAUGUGCAUUCACCGAACCCUUCUGUAGUGGUACAUAAAGUUUGAUUUUCUCCCC